UGUUCCCCCCUCCCCUACCCAAAACCCCAAAUAAAAGUCCCUAUCCAUUCCUCAUCGGGAAGCUAGCAAUUUUUGAGGCAUGAGCCCUUGCUUUGCUCCCUGUGCCUGGCAUAGUAAAAAUCUUUCCUCUUCCACUCAAGCCUCUGUUCUCGUUAUUUGGAUUGGCAUCAGGUUCAGAGACCGAACUUUCGGUUACAACACCAGGCUUUCAGCACAUUCAGCAGGUGGUGGCAACUGAUCAUUGUCCAGCCUGAAUCUGGGCCAGAGUGUGUACUCCCUCCUCUGACCAGUGGGAAGACUGGUCCAGAAGAGCCUCAUCCUGCUGAUUUUACUUGCGAGCUCUACAAUGCUUUCAUUGUGAUCAAGUCAAUGCCAGUGGGGUUUGAGUGAGUGGAGAAGGCUUCUGCCAGAGAGGGAUUCCAGCCGUGCUAUGAGGGGAAGGUCUAUGAAGAUGGCACCAUUUCCUAUGGAUACCAAGGUUGUAGUAGCAUAUGUAUUGAUGUGACUCUCCUUGAUUGCAAUAUUCCUGAGGAUUGAAAUGCUGUGAUGACUCAUCUCUCUGCAACAAGUUCUAAAGACCAGACCCAGCUUUUGCCCUGAUCUGGUGGAUAAGGUUGAUUCGGCAUACCUUUCAACUACCACAAUCUUCAAGACUGCUGUGACUGGAAUACAGCUUCCCUCCAAGAAGUCUCGGACUAGUUCUGUUUUCAGGCCCCAGUUCCUUUUCUUCCCCUCAUUGCGAGAUGCCCCCAGGAUAGUCUUUAAAACCAAAAGAGGUGAAGACUGGUGGGCAUAGCUAGGUCCAAGCAUACCUUCUCCAUCUUCAGUCCCUAAUUAAGCGUCACAUGGUUGUCGCACAGGAAGGCAGGGUCUGUGAAGACUGUGAUGCUUUUAAUGCUGGGUGCUCUGGAGGCAGUAGCUGAAGGAAGAGGAAGAGUCUUCAAAAGCCAAAAAGAGUUGGGAGAGUUGGGGGGCCCUAAAUGAUGUAUUAGUUGUGUUGGCUAUCUGCUAUAACAAAAGUCUCUAAAAUGUCAGUGGCUUGAAACAAUAAAAAAUGAUUGCUAACUCA